UUCUGUACACUCCUGACUGAUGGUUCUACCUUAAGUAUCGGAUGUCUUCUUGAAAGCUGACUGGACUGGUGCAUUUUCCAGCAUAUGAUGUUUUUAUUUCAACAUUCAAGGCAACCAGCUACUCCAGUAGCUAAAGCACAUGUUACAUUGUGUCUGAUUGAGAACCCUUGAUGCUGUUGCUGCUAGCUUUUAACUCUCUGAAAAGUCAGCACACGCGAAGAAGGCGGGGCUGCAUGCUGAAACAGACCCACAAGCAUUGACUUGUGCCUUCUCAAGGAAUUCUGUGCUUGGUAUUUAGUGGUUGA